AUGCCCACAUCAUAUGUUGAAGAUCAUGGCAGUCGUAUGGCUAUUGCUGGGGUGCAGUGUACCGAUCAUGCAAUGUCAGAAGACACAGCUACCAUGAAAGCAAUUGGAUACAUAAAAUGCAUGGUUAAGACUGAACUAAGAGACUACAAUUACAGCAACAUGAAGAGACUGGAUGAGGAAAAUCAGUCUCUAAAGCAUGAGUUGGUUGUAGCUAAUUAUAACAAGCAGAAAACAAAGGCAAAGACCAAAUCCGUCAAGAACAAAUUAAAGGAAAAUGCUAUGGGCUGGUUCGUUCUUACAAGAUACAUGCAUGGAUUAUCUGAUAAUAUAUGCAAUGUAAUAGCGCUCACCAGAUCGUCUGGGAAAGAACCCAUGGAUCAGCUUAUGAAUGAACCUCUUAACAACAUUGAGCAGAUAGCAGAAAGGCUCAAGCGCAGGGUGCUCAAAUCAGAGAAGCAUCUAAAAAGCAUCAGGAGAGGUUUCUAG
rnacentral:rRNA from 1 species